AGACGGGAGGCGGGGAGCUCGCGCCAUGCGGGCUGAGAGGAAGCGUAACGUCGCUUCGACCCGAAGAACCUGAUGUGGGUAAUGCCAACGAAGGGAGCCGAUAUGGCCGAUCGC
rnacentral:ncRNA from 2 species